rnacentral:rRNA from 1 species
UCCUACGGGAGGCAGCAGUGGGGAAUAUUGCACAAUGGGCGAAAGCCUGAUGCAGCGACGCCGCGUGAGUGAAGAAGUAUUUCGGUAUGUAAAGCUCUAUCAGCAGGGAAGAAAAUGACGGUACCUGACUAAGAAGCCCCGGCUAACUACGUGCCAGCAGCCGCGGUAAUACGUAGGGGGCAAGCGUUAUCCGGAUUUACUGGGUGUAAAGGGAGCGAAGACGGCGAAGCAAGUCUGAAGUGAAAACCCAGGGCUCAACCCUG